UACGAAGGGGGCUAGCGUUGCUCGGAAUCACUGGGCGUAAAGCGCACGUAGGCGGAUUGCUAAGUCAGGGGUGAAAUCCUGGAGCUCAACUCCAGAGCUGCCUUUGAUACUGGAAGUCUUGAGUAUGGAAGAGGUAAGUGGAAUUGCGAGUGUAGAGGUGAAAUUCGUAGAUAUUCGCAGGAACACCAGUGGCGAAGGCGGCUUACUGGUCCAUUACUGACGCUGAGGUGCGAAAGCGUGGGGAGCAAACAGG
rnacentral:rRNA from 1 species